UGGGGAAUAUUGGACAAUGGGCGAAAUCCUGAUCCAGCCAUGCCGCGUGUGUGAAGAAGGUCUUCGGAUUGUAAAGCACUUUAAGUUGGGAGGAAGGGCAGUAAGCGAAUACCUUGCUGUUUUGACGUUACCGACAGAAUAAGCACCGGCUAACUCUGUGCCAGCAGCCGCGGUAAUACAGAGGGUGCAAGCGUUAAUCGGAAUUACUGGGCGUAAAGCGCGCGUAGGUGGUUCGUUAAGUUGAAUGUGAAAGCCCCGGGCUCAACCUGGGAACUGCAUCCAAAACUGGCGGGCUAAAGUAGGGCAGAGGGUGGUGGAAUUUCCUGUGUAGCGGUGAAAUGCGUAGAUAUAGGAAGGAACACCAGUGGCGAAGGCGACCACCUGGGCUCAUACUGACACUGAGGUGCGAAAGCGUGGGGAGCAAACAGG
rnacentral:rRNA from 1 species